UACGAAGGGGGCUAGCGUUGCUCGGAAUUACUGGGCGUAAAGCGCACGUAGGCGGACUGAUAAGUCAGGGGUGAAAUCCCGGGGCUCAACCCCGGAACUGCCUUUGAUACUGUCAGUCUAGAGUUCGAGAGAGGUGAGUGGAAUUCCGAGUGUAGAGGUGAAAUUCGUAGAUAUUCGGAGGAACACCAGUGGCGAAGGCGGCUCACUGGCUCGAUACUGACGCUGAGGUGCGAAAGCGUGGGGAGCAAACAGG
rnacentral:rRNA from 1 species